rnacentral:rRNA from 1 species
GAUGAACGCUGGCGGCGUGCCUAAUACAUGCAAGUCGAGCGAACAGACGAGGAGCUUGCUCCUCUGACGUUAGCGGCGGACGGGUGAGUAACACGUGGAUAACCUACCUAUCAGACUGGGAUAACUUCGGGAAACCGGAGCUAAUACCGGAUAAUAUAUUGAACCGCAUGGUUCAAUAGUGAAAGACGGUUUUGCUGUCACUUAUAGAUGGAUCCGCGCCGCAUUAGCUAGUUGGUAAGGUAACGGCUUACCAAGGCAACGAUGCGUAGCCGACCUGAGAGGGUGAUCGGCCACACUGGAACUGAGACACGGUCCAGACUCCUACGGGAGGGAGCAGUAGGGAAUCUUCCGCAAUGGGCGAAAGCCUGACGGAGCAACGCCGCGUGAGUGAUGAAGGUCUUCGGAUCGUAAAACUCUGUUAUUAGUGAAGAACAAAUGUGUAAGUAACUAUGCACGUCUUGACGGUACCUAAUCAGAAAGCCACGGCUAACUACGUG